UACCCUUGACAUGUCAGGAACGCCGCAGAGAUGCGGUGGUGCCCGAAAGGGAACCUGAACACAGGUGCUGCAUGGCUGUCGUCAGCUCGUGUCGUGAGAUGUUGGGUUAAGUCCCGCAACGAGCGCAACCCUUGUCAUUAGUUGCUACAUUUAGUUGGGCACUCUAAUGAGACUGCCGGUGACAAACCGGAGGAAGGUGGGGAUGACGUUCGUCUGAC
rnacentral:misc_RNA from 1 species